rnacentral:miRNA from 1 species
UGCGGGCCAAUGUUUACCUGUG